AAGCUUCUAGACACGUAGCAGGAG
rnacentral:piRNA from 1 species